AUGGCGGCGUUCAACAAGUUUUACAAUCUAGUUGGCAGAAAUUUUGGAGCACUCAACACGGCUAUAGUUGCGUUAUUGCCAAAGAAAGAUGGAGCGGCAGCAGUCAGCGACUAUAGGCCGAUUAGCCUCAUUCAGUCCAUUGCGAAGUUGAUCUCCAAAGUGCUCUCCCUCAGGCUUUCUAGUGUAAUCCACAUGCUCAUCUCUCCAGCGCAAUCGGCCUUUCUUCAGACGAAAUGCAUCCACGAUAGUUUCUUGUAUGUUCAAAACUGCAUCAAGGCUCUGCAUAGACGGAAAACACCAGCCCUGCUUCUUAAGUUAGACAUCGCAAAGGCCUUUGAUAAUGUGUCCCGGGAAUACAUCCUAGAACUGCUGCAACAGAGAGGUUUUAGCGUGUGUUGGAGAGACUGGAUAGCCCUACUCCUCUCCACAUCCUCAUCUUCAUUCCUCCUGAACAGCAGCCCCGGCAAGAAAAUUCAGCACCGGCGAGGCCUACGGCAGGGUGACCCCUUGUCGCCCUUCCUGUUCAUCCUCGCAAUCGACACACUGCACCGCCUUCUUCAAGCUGUAGCCGAGAAAAAAAUCAUCGCACCGCUGCCCGGACGGGAGUUAAAGCUUAGAAUUAGCUUGUACGCCGACAAUGAUGUCAUCUUCACAAACCCAGUUAGGCAAGAGGUUGAUGCGCUGAUGGGAAUUCUCCAUGAGUUUGGAGCAGACACGGGCCUACACAUAAACCCUUCAAAGUCUAUGGCACUACCCAGUGAGAAUAUAGACCUCACGGACGUGCUGCAAAACUUUGGGGGAACCCAGGGACAUUUCCCAUCCAUCUACCUCGGGUUGCCGCUCACCCUCUCCAGACUUAGACUAGCAAACUUGUAG
rnacentral:rRNA from 1 species